GACGAACGCUGGCGGCGUGCUUAACACAUGCAAGUCGAACGCUGAAGCUCAGCUUUUGUUGGGUGGAUGAGUGGCGAACGGGUGAGUAACACGUGAGUAACCUGCCUCCUUCUUUGGGAUAACGCCCGGAAACGGGUGCUAAUACUGGAUAUUCACUGGUCUUCGCAUGGGGGUUGGUGGAAAGGGUUUUUCUGGUGGGGGAUGGGCUCGCGGCCUAUCAGCUUGUUGGUGGGGUGAUGGCCUACCAAGGCUUUGACGGGUAGCCGGCCUGAGAGGGUGACCGGUCACAUUGGGACUGAGAUACGGCCCAGACUCCUACGGGAGGCAGCAGUGGGGAAUAUUGCACAAUGGGCGCAAGCCUGAUGCAGCGACGCCGCGUGAGGGAUGGAGGCCUUCGGGUUGUGAACCUCUUUCGCUCAUGGUCAAGCCGCAACAAUGGUUGGGGUGAGGGUAGUGGGUAAAGAAGCGCCGGCUAACUACGUG
rnacentral:rRNA from 1 species